GACGUAGGGCGCGAGCGUUGUCCGGAUUUAUUGGGCGUAAAGAGCUCGUAGGCGGCUUGUCACGUCGAAUGUGAAAUCUCAGGGCUCAACUCUGACAUUGCAUUCGAUACGGGCAGGCUAGAGUUCGGUAGGGGAGACUGGAAUUCCUGGUGUAGCGGUGAAAUGCGCAGAUAUCAGGAGGAACACCUGAGGUGAAGACGGGUUGCUGGGCCAACACUGACGCUGAGGCGCGAAAGCCAGGGGAGCAAACGGG
rnacentral:rRNA from 1 species